AGUACGAUACGAGUUUGAUCCUGGCUCAGAAUCAACGCUGGCGGCGUGCCUCAGACAUGCAAGUCGAACGAUUAAAGCUCUCUUCGGAGAGUGUAUAGAGUGGCGCACGGGUGAGUAACACGUAAGUAAUCUACCCUCGAGUGGGGAAUAACAACCGGAAACGGUUGCUAAUACCGCAUAAUGCAGCGGCACCGCAAGGUGACAGUUGUUAAAGAUUUAUCGCUUGAGGAGGAGCUUGCGGCAGAUUAGCUAGUUGGUAGGGUAACGGCUUACCAAGGCUACGAUCUGUAACCGGUCUAAGAGGACGGUCGGUCACACUGACACUGAAUAACGGGUCAGACUCCUACGGGAGGCAGCAGUCGGGAAUUUUGGGCAAUGGGCGAAAGCCUGACCCAGCAACGCCGCGUGAAGGAUGAAGUAUUUCGGUAUGUAAACUUCGAAAGAAUAGGAAGAAUUAAUGACGGUACUAUUUAUAAGGUCCGGCUAACUACGUG
rnacentral:rRNA from 1 species